rnacentral:misc_RNA from 1 species
AAGGCAGCUGUAUUAUAAAAUAUGGUUGAAUUGUCUUCCUUUUAAAAAUAAAGAUAAAUUAAGAUGAAUUUCAUUAAUUCUUCUCUCUAUUUUUAUUUUGAUGAAAAUUUUUUUUAAGUCAAAGUAAAUUUUUAGUUUAAACUUUAGAAAAAAUAAAUCUUUGUUAAGUAUUUAGUGCUAUAUAGUUUAAUAUUGAAUUAAGCGUUGGUAAUAGUAAAUCAUAAUUUUAAAUUUUGAAGUGAAAGGCUUUUAUAUUGCUAGAUGUGCAUUUAAAUCUAAUAUAACGGCAAUUGGUCAUUUUAAAAUUGAGAUUAUAUUCUAAAUAUUGCUUAACAUUUACCAAAUAUUUUAUUGUUCUGAUUAAUUGGCUUAAAGUAAUACCGAAG